GAUGAACGCUAGCUACAGGCUUAACACAUGCAAGUCGAGGGGCAGCGCAGUGUAGCAAUACAUGGGCGGCGACCGGCGCACGGGUGCGUAACGCGUAUCCAACCUUCCCGUUACUCAGGGAUAGCCUUCCGAAAGGGAGAUUAAUACCUGAUGGUGUUUGAAUUCCGCAUGUUAUUCAAACUAAAGAUUUAUCGGCAAUGGAUGGGCAUGCGGCGCAUUAGCUAGUUGGCGGGUAACGGCCCACCAAGGCGACGAUGCGUAGGGGUUCUGAGAGGAAGGUCCCCCACACUGGAACUGAGACACGGUCCAGACUCCUACGGGAGGCAGCAGUGAGGAAUAUUGGUCAAUGGAGGCAACUCUGAACCAGCCAAGUAGCGUGCAGGACGACGGCCCUAUGGGUUGUAAACUGCUUUUGUACAAGGGUAAACCUCGGUACGUGUACCGAGCUGAAAGUACUGUACGAAUAAGGAUCGGCUAACUCCGUG
rnacentral:rRNA from 1 species